rnacentral:misc_RNA from 1 species
GAUGAAGAACGUAGCGAAAUGCGAUAAGUAAUGUGAAUUGCAGAAUUCAGUGAAUCAUCGAAUCUUUGAACGCACAUUGCGCCCGCCAGUAUUCUGGCGGGCAUGCCUGUCCGAGCGUCAUUUCAACCCUCGAACCCCUCCGGGGGGUCGGCGUUGGGGAUCGGCCCUUUCACCGGGUGCCGGCCCCUAAAUACAGUGGCGGUCUCGCCGCAGCCUCUCAUGCGCAGUAGUUUGCACACUCGCACCGGGAGCGCGGCGCGUCCACGUCCGUAAAACACCCCAAACUUCUGAAAUGUUGACCUCGGAUCAGGUAGGAAUACCCGCUGAACUUAAGCAUAUCAAUAAGCGGAGGA